UACGUAGGGGGCAAGCGUUGUCCGGAUUUAUUGGGCGUAAAGAGCUCGUAGGCGGCUCGGUAAGUCGGAUGUGAAACCUCCAGGCUCAACCUGGAGACGCCAUCUGAUACUGCCGUGGCUUGAGUCCGGUAGAGGAGCAGGGAAUUCCUGGUGUAGCGGUGAAAUGCGCAGAUAUCAGGAAGAACACCCGUGGCGAAGGCGGCUCUCUGGGACGGUACUGACGCUGAGACGCGAAAGCGUGGGGAGCGAACAGG
rnacentral:rRNA from 1 species